rnacentral:lncRNA from 1 species
CUGCAGGCGCUGUCGGGAGCCUGGAGACAGCUCCCGCUGCUCGUCCUCCUCCACCGCGGGGCUGCCGUCCCGGUACCGCGGGAACCACAGCGCCAUCCUGGCAGCGGGAAGCGCCGAUCGCCUCCCUCGGCCGUUCGAUUGCUCACCGGAAGCGAGGCCGUACACCACUUCCGGCAAUAGCUAGCGGGCGGCCGCGAUACCGCCGCUCAGCGCCCGCCCCCGCGGUCGGCGGGCGGGGCUUUCCGCAAGGCGCGCGGCGCUGCGCCGCGCCGCACCGGCGGACGUUUGCCCGGCAGAGGCGCGCGGGACGGCCUCGAGGGUCAGCUGUUGGUUACCCCGCGGAGUGCCACGCAUCUGCUCUCGUGGUGCCCCGUCGUUGGGGGGGAGUGAGAAAGAGAAAGGCAGAGCAGAGAGCGCGCAACGCGGUCGCCGUGGCAACGCGGUUGAGUGGGCGUUUCGCUGAGCGUCGCCGUCAGAGGUAGUCGGCGAGCUCACGUCCACAUGGCGAAGCCGGCUUACCGUGCCCGAUCCGGAGCCCCGCGGUGCCCCCCGGUUAAGCCACAGUGAAUGGGGACCCACCAGAAUGCCUUGACAUCACAAUAAGGUGUGCCUCACAAUGCCUGGGUGAGCUCUGAAGCCUACAUGGCACCUGUGG